rnacentral:lncRNA from 1 species
AAACAGAAUUCAGUGGAGUGUGUCUUAAAGGUGAUUGAUGUUCUUGGCUUGCCUGGCUUGUAAUGGGAGUGAAUGUAGCUCUGUGGAGAGGGAAAGGAGGGCGGUAAAGGGUAGUGAUCUUUAGGUUUUAAUUCUGUGAAUGUAAUCUUUUGGGGUAAUAAUCUAGGAGGAUUAAGGUGGGAUAUAUGUGUAUUGAUCCUAUAAGUAUUUGCUCUCAUAUUAUUGCUCCUGUAUUGGGGAGAGAAUAAUAAUCAUGACAAGUUCAUUAGUUUGGAAAAUUGGAGAGAGAGAGAAGUCACGGGGGGGGGGGGGGGGUUGUUCCGUGGGAGCCUUAUUUUUCCAGAAAUUUGCUUUGCAAUUCUGGAACUCACUUGUGACCAUGUCAGACAGCAUGGGCUUGAUGCUUCCCACAUUAUAUGGCAAGAGAAGAUUAUGCCUCAAGAGAUCAAGGAUGCUUUCAUUGUCUACCUCUAUAAAGGAAAAGGGAAUAGGUUGCCUUCUGACAAUCCUAGCAGAGUCCCUCUCAAUCAUUGCUGGCAAGAUUAUUCAAUUUUGAAAGCAUAUUGUGGAAUUCUGGUUUUGAAUAUCCUCUACUAUCGUCUUCUGUUUUAUGGUUUCACAUGCCAGAAGGGGUCUUUCCCAGACCUGGGAGUUGGCACCAUUGACUUUGGAAACAACAUUGCAACCAGAAUUCCAGGCAUAGAAAGGAAAGCCAGGACUGAAGAGCCAACGAUCUACCCUGCCUGAAGUAGAAGCCAAGAUCUUCCACAAGGGAGAACAGGACACCUCAGGGCAGCAGCUUAUCAGGAAUAGAGAAGAGUCAAGACCAGGACUCUCCACAAGGAGAAGAGAGACUUCAACUGAUAGAGAUAAGGACGGAGUAUGCUACCAUCUUGGAGGGAAGAUCUGCUCUGCAAAUGCUGGGAGGUGGGAAAAGGCAGGAUGAGACUGAAGAAUAGGAAAUAGUCCAAUCUGGCUGGAACAUAGAAUUCAAGUCAUAUACAAGAAGGAUGGAAAGGGAGGUCAGACACAGAUUGUGAAGGGACGUAAUACAAAUAUAAGGAGUUUAUAUUUUAUCCUCUAAAGUUUAGAUUUUUUCUAAUUUUAGAUAAUUUCUAAUUUUAGAUUUUUUUCUAAUUUUAGAUAAUUUCUAAAUUUAGAUAAUUUAGAUAAAAUUAGAUAAUUUCUCAUUUUUAGAUUUUCAGUGGUUCCAGAACCACUGAAAAAUUUUCACAGGAUAAGUAAUAAGCCAUGGGAAGAGUCAGUCAGUAUCUGUGUGACAGGUGAAUUGGAGGACUCCAAGGACAGAAGCUGGUGGAAGGUAGAGACUAGACAACCACAACAUUGGAGACAUUGGCAAGAGAGAGCAAUAGAGAACCUUUGUAUAAGAAGUUUAAGGUCUGCAAAGCACUUUACCAAGUAUUCUCUCAUUUGAUCCUCACAAAAACCCUGGGCAAUAGGUGCUAUUGUUAUACCCAUUUCAUAGAUUAGGAAACCGGCACAAUGAGAGACUGAGUAAUUUGCCAAGAGUCAUACUGGUAGUGUCUGAAACUGGAUUUGAACCCAAGACCUUCUGAUUCCAAGUCCUACAUUCUCUCUAUCUCUACUGGGUCACCUAGCAGAGAUGUGGUAUGUUCAGGGAAAAGCCAGAAUUUGGUUAGAAUAUAGAAGUUCAAGGAAUAGAAUAGGGAGGGUUUAGGAGGCAGGCACGUAUGUUCAGAGGAGGAAGGGGUAGACAGAAGAGGACAGUGUCUGGGGAUGGAGAGGACUAAAGCAGAUACAGGUAAGAGUCUGGGGAAAGAAGGCUCUUGUUUCCUCGGUCUCUCUCCCUCCGUCUCUGUCUUUUUCUCUAUUUCUGUCUGUCUGUCUUUAUCUACCUCUGUCUCUCUUUCUCUUUAUCAACCUUGGGGUUGAUAAACACUCAUGAUUGGGAGCAAUUAGCGGGACUGGGGAUAGGAUCCUUCUAGAGAAAAAGGGUGUAACCUGGGAAAUUAAAUAUAAUGCCAAGCCAAAAUUCCCAAGGGUCACCAAAUCCAAGGGCUAGGCAGGAUUCUAAGGGUUCAUAGUAGUGGUCAAAGAGUGAGGAGGAGGCAGGAAGGAACAAGUAUUUCUUAAGUACCUUCUAUGUGCCAAGCAUUGUGUUAAGCUCUUUAAAAAUAUUAUCCCGUUUGAUCCUCCUAACAACCUUGGAAAAUAGGUGCUAUUAUUAUCUCUGCCUCAUAGCUGAAUAAAUGGAGGCAGACAGUGGCUAUGUGACUUGCU